UACGGAGGGGGCUAGCGUUGUUCGGAAUUACUGGGCGUAAAGGGCGCGUAGGCGGUCUUGUAAGUCUUGUGUGAAAUCCCUCGGCUUAACUGAGGAACUGCACGAGAUACUGCAAGACUUGAGAUCGGGAGAGGGAAGCGGAAUUCCGGGUGUAGCGGUGAAAUGCGUAGAUAUCCGGAGGAACACCGGUGGCGAAGGCGGCUUCCUGGACCGACACUGACGCUGAGGCGCGAAAGCUAGGGGAGCAAACAGG
rnacentral:rRNA from 1 species